UGUGUGUGUGUAUGUGUGCAUGUGUGCCCAUGCACAUGUGGUACAAGAGGGCGAGACGAGACUGUGAGAGAGUGUAAUCAAGAUACUGCUGACAGAAGGAAAUGGUUUUUGCCAUGUCCUGCUGUAAAACAGCAACACUCACCUCUUAAUUUUUCUAUUAUUACACAUAAUUGCUUUCGUUUGGCAGGCAGCCAACAUAAACUAAGCACCAGUUACCAGUGCUUAAACCAAAACAAGACUGAAAGGAAUUGGUUUGGUUUUCAAUUCAGCAACAUAAAAUAAUGUUGAUUUUUUUAUUAAGAAAAAAUUAUGCAUGUGCAUAAAAUAGGUACAGAGGGAGAAUGUGAGGAUUUAGAAUCUAGAAUGUACACAGACAGCUAGAUUUCUCCUUUCUAAUCUUUCCCUCCUCCACUCUCCAGACAAUGAUCAGCCCUGGUACAGUCAGCCAGCCUAUGCUUCACUGCUUGGACUUGUUUCAUAUUAAGGAUUCCUAAAAUAACCCUCUUAAGAAAAUAAAUGUGCACAAUAGCUUUGCUCUUGGGGUUAUCUUUAGAAUCAACUUGGAUAAGCAUUUGUCACAGAGGAUUAGAAAAGAAAUCUCAAAACCAACACACUUGUUUCCUGCAAGCCA